rnacentral:rRNA from 1 species
AGGUGCGAUCAUACCAGUACUAAUGCACUGGAUCUUAUUGGAACUCUAAAGUUAAGCGUACUUGGACAAGAAUAGUACUAAGAUGGGUUUUGUCACAGGACUUCCAUAGACACAGGCA